rnacentral:rRNA from 1 species
GACGAACGCUGGCGGCGUGCCUAACACAUGCAAGUCGAACGAGGUCCAAGGGAGCUUGCUCCCUGAAGACCUAGUGGCGAACGGGUGAGUAACACGUGAGGAACCUGCCCCGGACUCCGGGAUAACCCGAGGAAACUCGGGCUAAUACCGGAUGCCCUCAUCGGAUCGCAUGGUCUGAUGAGGAAAGUUUUUCGGUCCGGGAGGGCCUCGCGGCCUAUCAGCUAGUUGGUGAGGUAACGGCUCACCAAGGCUACGACGGGUAGCUGGUUUGAGAGAACGAUCAGCCACACUGGGACUGAGACACGGCCCAGACUCCUACGGGAGGCAGCAGUGGGGAAUCUUGCGCAAUGGGCGAAAGCCUGACGCAGCAACGCCGCGUGCGGGAUGACGGCCUUCGGGUUGUAAACCGCUUUCAGCAGGGACGAAGAUGACGGUACCUGCAGAAGAAGCUCCGGCUAACUACGUGCCAGCCGCCGCCGUAAUAC